UACGUAGGGUGCAAGCGUUAAUCGGAAUUACUGGGCGUAAAGCGUGCGCAGGCGGUUGUGCAAGACGGAUGUGAAAUCCCCGGGCUUAACCUGGGAACUGCAUUGGUGACUGCAUUGCUGGAGUAUGGCAGAGGGGGGUGGAAUUCCAGCGUGUAGCAGUGAAAUGCGUAGAGAUGUGGAGGAACACCGAUGGCGAAGGCAGCCCCCUGGGCCAAUACUGACGCUCAUGCACGAAAGCGUGGGGAGCAAACAGG
rnacentral:rRNA from 1 species